rnacentral:tRNA from 1 species
GCGGGGGUUGCCGAGCCUGGACAAAGGCGCAGGAGCCGUCAUGGCGGUGUGACUUAAGAUCUAGGUGGUGAGUAAUCCUGUCCCUUAGGGGUUCGUGGGUUCAAAUCCCACCCCCCGCA